rnacentral:rRNA from 1 species
GAAUCCGCYAAGGAGUGUGUAACAACUCACCUGCCGAAUGAAUUAGCCCUGAAAAUGGAUGGCGCUGAAGCGGGCGGCCGACACCAUGCCGUCUGAAACAAAAAAAAAUUAUGAACGUUCAGAUGAGUAGGAGGGCGUGGGGGCCGUGUCGAAGCAUGCGUGCAGACGCGUGUGGAACGGCCUCUAGUGCAGAUCUUGGUGGUAGUAGCAAGUAUUCAAGCGAGAUCCUUGAAGGGCGAAGCGGGGAAGGGUUCCACGCGAACAUUGAUUGGGCGUGGGUGAGUCGUUCCUAAGCCGAGUGGCGAUUGCUAAGUAGCGGCGAAAGGGAAGCGGGUUGACAUUCCCGCACACGGAUGUGGAGGCGGCGACGCAUUCCAAUUGGGGCGAAGACGCUGGCGACGGCGCUGGGCAGAGUUUUCUUUUCUGUUUGACCGUUCAGCGCACGCGGUGUGGAAUCCGCUUGUCGGGAGAAACACGCGUGUGCGGGCAGAGCGCCGGGGCUUUUCCGGCGUCCAGCUCGCCGUCGACGGCCCUUGAAAAUUUGCCUGCUGAAUUGAAUCCACGCCGUGGCGUACCGAUCACCGCAUCAGGUCCCCGAGGUGAACAGCCUCUGCUCGAUAUGAAAAAUGCAGGUAAGGGAAGUCGGCA